ACCAACUAAAUGGCCAAUUCCAG
rnacentral:snRNA from 1 species